AUUCUUAUAGUUGAAACACAACAAUGGUUUUUCAUAUCAUUAGUCAUGGUUAAAUCCAUGUGGGAAUA
rnacentral:tRNA from 7 species